rnacentral:rRNA from 1 species
CAGCCGCGUAAUUCCAGCUCCAAUAGCGUAUAUUAAAGUUGUUGCAGUUAAAAAGCUCGUAGUUGAAUUUCGGGAUUCGUCCAUUGGUCAGGCUUAACUGUCUGUACUGGUGUGUCGGAUUUCUACCUUCUGAAGAACCUUUAUGCCAUUAAUUUGGUGUGUUGGGGAAUCAGGACUGUUACUUUGAAAAAAUUAGAGUGUUUAAAGCAGGCUAACGUCUGAAUACAUUAGCAUGGAAUAAUGAAAUAGGACGGUACGGUUCUAUUUUGUUGGUUUCUAGGAUCGCCGUAAUGAUUAAUAGGGAUAGUUGGGGGCAUUAGUAUUCAAUUGUCAGAGGUGAAAUUCUUGGAUUUAUUGAAGACUAACUACUGCGAAAGCAUUUGCCAAGGAUGUUUUCAUUAAUCAAGAACGAAAGUUAGGGGAUCGAAGACGAUCAGAUACCGUCGUAGUCUUAACCAUAAACUAUGCCGACUAGGGAUUGGACGAUGUUAAUUUUUUAAUGACUCGUUCAGCACCUUACG